UACGGAGGAUGCGAGCGUUAUCCGGAUUUAUUGGGUUUAAAGGGUGCGUAGGCGGAUCGUUAAGUCAGUGGUCAAAUUGAGGGGCUCAACCCCUUCCCGCCAUUGAAACUGGCGAUCUUGAGUGGAAGAGAAGUAUGCGGAAUGCGUGGUGUAGCGGUGAAAUGCAUAGAUAUCACGCAGAACCCCGAUUGCGAAGGCAGCAUGCCGGCUUCCUACUGACGCUGAGGCACGAAAGCGUGGGUAUCGAACAGG
rnacentral:rRNA from 1 species